rnacentral:rRNA from 1 species
GGUUAAGCGACUAAGCGUACACGGUGGAUGCCCUGGCAGUCAGAGGCGAUGAAGGACGUGCUAAUCUGCGAUAAGCGUCGGUAAGGUGAUAUGAACCGUUAUAACCGGCGAUUUCCGAAUGGGGAAACCCAGUGUGUUUCGACACACUAUCAUUAACUGAAUCCAUAGGUUAAUGAGGCGAACCGGGGGAACUGAAACAUCUAAGUACCCCGAGGAAAAGAAAUCAACCGAGAUUCCCCCAGUAGCGGCGAGCGAACGGGGAGCAGCCCAGAGCCUGAAUCAGUGUGUGUGUUAGUGGAAGCGUCUGGAAAGGCGCGCGAUACAGGGUGACAGCCCCGUACACAAAAAUGCACAUGCUGUGAGCUCGAUGAGUAGGGCGGGACACGUGGUAUCCUGUCUGAAUAUGGGGGGACCAUCCUCCAAGGCUAAAUACUCCUGACUGACCGAUAGUGAACCAGUACCGUGAGGGAAAGGCGAAAAGAACCCCGGCGAGGGGAGUGAAAAAGAACCUGAAACCGUGUACGUACAAGCAGUGGGAGCACGCUUAGGCGUGUGACUGCGUACCUUUUGUAUAAUGGGUCAGCGACUUAUAUUCUGUAGCAAGGUUAACCGAAUAGGGGAGCCGAAGGGAAACCGAGUCUUAACUGGGCGUUAAGUUGCAGGGUAUAGACCCGAAACCCGGUGAUCUAGCCAUGGGCAGGUUGAAGGUUGGGUAACACUAACUGGAGGACCGAACCGACUAAUGUUGAAAAAUUAGCGGAUGACUUGUGGCUGGGGGUGAAAGGCCAAUCAAACCGGGAGAUAGCUGGUUCUCCCCGAAAGCUAUUUAGGUAGCGCCUCGUGAAUUCAUCUCCGGGGGUAGAGCACUGUUUCGGCAAGGGGGUCAUCCCGACUUACCAACCCGAUGCAAACUGCGAAUACCGGAGAAUGUUAUCACGGGAGACACACGGCGGGUGCUAACGUCCGUCGUGAAGAGGGAAACAACCCAGACCGCCAGCUAAGGUCCCAAAGUCAUGGUUAAGUGGGAAACGAUGUGGGAAGGCCCAGACAGCCAGGAUGUUGGCUUAGAAGCAGCCAUCAUUUAAAGAAAGCGUAAUAGCUCACUGGUCGAGUCGGCCUGCGCGGAAGAUGUAACGGGGCUAAACCAUGCACCGAAGCUGCGGCAGCGACGCUGAUGCGUUGUUGGGUAGGGGAGCGUUCUGUAAGCCUG